UAGGGAAUCUUCGGCAAUGGGGGCAACCCUGACCGAGCAACGCCGCGUGAGUGAAGAAGGUUUUCGGAUCGUAAAGCUCUGUUGUAAGAGAAGAACGUGUGUGAGAGUGGAAAGUUCACACAGUGACGGUAACUUACCAGAAAGGGACGGCUAACUACGUGCCAGCAGCCGAGGUAAUACGUAGGUCCCGAGCGUUGUCCGGAUUUAUUGGGCGUAAAGCGAGCGCAGGCGGUUUAAUAAGUCUGAAGUUAAAGGCAGUGGCUUUACCAUUGUUCGCUUUGGAAACUGUUAAACUUGAGUGCAGAAGGGGAGAGUGGAAUUCCAUGUGUAGCGGUGAAAUGCGUAGAUAUAUGGAGGAACACCGGUGGCGAAAGCGGCUCUCUGGUCUGUAACUGACGCUGAGGCUCGAAAGCGUGGGGAGCAAACAGG
rnacentral:rRNA from 1 species